rnacentral:rRNA from 1 species
GAAAGUAAGUAAGGGCGUAUGGGGGAUGCCUAGGCUCUUGGAGGCUAAGAAGGACGUGGUAAGCUGCGAAAAGCUGCGGGGAUUUGCAAACGAGACUCGAUCCGCAGAUAUCCGAAUGGGACAACCCGGCAGGUAGAAGACCUGUCACACCGCGAGGUGAGCUAACCCUCUGAACUGAAACAUCUAAGUAGGAGGAGGAAAAGAAAGAAACAUCGAUUUCCAAAGUAGCGGCGAGCGAAAUGGAAGAAGCCCAAACCGAUAUUGUUACGGCAAUAUCGGGGUUGUAGGACUGCAAUAUUCAAUUAACAAUGAACUGGAAUGGUCUGGAAAGUCCAUCCAUAGAGAGUGAAAGGCUCGUACAGGUAAGUUUGUUAUGCGAAAGCAGUAUCCUGAGUAUGGCGGGACACGAGGAAUCCUGUCAGAAUCAGCCGGGACCACCCGGUAAGGCUAAAUACUCCCAAGAGACCGAUAGUGGACCAGUACUGUGAAGGAAAGGUGAAAAGAACCCCGAACAGGGGAGUGAAAUAGAACCUGAAACCAUACGCUUACAACCGGUCGGAGCAGCUUCGUGCUGUGACGGCGUGCCUAUUGAAUAAUGAGCCUACGAGUUACUAAUCACUAGCGAGGUUAAGUGCAAGGAUGCACGGAGCCGAAGCGAAAGCGAGUCUGAACAGGGCGUUUAGUUAGUGGUUGUAGACGCGAAACCUUGCGAUCUACCCUUGAGCAGGUUGAAGGUUGGGUAAAACCAACUGGAGGACCGAACGAAUAAGCGUUGAAAAGCUUCUCGAUGACUUGAGGGUAGGGGUGAAAGGCUAAUCAAGCUGGGAAAUAGCUCGUACUCCCCGAAAUGCCUUUUGGGGCAGCGUUGUAAUAAAGAGUCUACUGGAGGUAGAGCUACUGAUUGGAUGCGGGGGCUUCACCGCCUACCAAAUCCUGACAAACUCCGAAUGCCAGUAGUAUGAUUUACAGCAGUGAGUGACUGGGUGCUAAUGUCCAGUCGCAAAAGAGGAACAACUCAGACCAGCAACUAAGGUCCCGAAGAAUAUGCUAAGUUGAUCUAACGAUGUUUUGUUGCAGAGACAGCUAGGAUGUUAGCUUGGAAGCAGCUAUUCAUUCAAAGAGUGCGUAACAGCUCACUAGUCGAGCGACAGAGCGUGGAUAAUAAACGGGCAUCAAGCAUAUCACCGAAGUUCUGGGCGCGAGAGCGCGGUAGGGGAGCAUUCCAUUCAGCGUCGAAGCAGUUUCGUGAGGAAUUGUGGAGCGUAUGGAAAAGCAAAUGUAGGCAUGAGUAACGAUAAUGCGGGAGAGUAACCCGCACACCGCAAGACCAAGGUUUCCUGAUCAACGCUAAUCGGAUCAGGGUUAGUCGGGUCCUAAGGGUAAGCCGAACGGCGAUCUCGAUGGAUAAUCGGUUAAUAUUCCGAUACUAACAUAUACCUCGAUGGAGAGACGAAGGAACGUAAGUGCCGCCACCUGACGGAAUAGGUGGUUAAAGGGCGUAGGUAUAGGGGCAGAUUAAGAGUUAGUCCUUGCUGAAACCUGACAGUACAGAGAGCCUACGGGCAAUUUGAUAGAGCACCCAAGUCGACUUCCGAGAAAAUCUUCUAAGUUAUAGUAUAUGUUACCCGUACCGUAAACCGACACAGGUGGUCGAGGAGAGUAUCCUAAGGUGCUCGAGUGAAUCACGGUUAAGGAACUAGGCAAAUUAACCCCGUAACUUCGGGAAAAGGGGUCCCUAUGAAAGUAGGGCGCAGCGAAGAGGUCCAGGCGACUGUUUAUCAAAAACACAGGGCUCUGCAAAUUCGAAAGAAGACGUAUAGGGCCUGACACCUGCCCGGUGCUGGAAGGUUAAGAGGGGAUGUCAUCGCAAGAGAAGCAUUGAAUUGAAGCCCCAGUAAACGGCGGCCGUAACUAUAACGGUCCUAAGGUAGCGAAAUUCCUUGUCGGGUAAGUUCCGACCUGCACGAAUGGUGUAACGAUCUGGACACUGUCUCAACCGUGAGCUCGGUGAAAUUGUAGUCCCGGUGAUGAUGCCGGGUACCCGCAACGGGACGAAAAGACCCCGUGAACCUUUACUAUAGCUUAACGCUGAAUUUGGGUACACAAUGUGUAGGAUAGGCCGGAGGCUUUGAAGCGGGCACGCCAGUGUUCGUGGAGCCGACGUUGAAAUACGGCCCUUUGUGUAUUUGAGUUCUAACCCUGCGAAGGGGACACCGUUUGGUGGGUAGUUUGACUGGGGUGGUCGCCUCCAAAAGCGUAACGGAGGCUUCUA